UUGCCGUUAUUUGAUGUUUUUGUUAUGCGAAAUAAAAAUUAACAUUAAAAAAUUAAUAUGCUAACAAAUUGUUUGAAUUAAUGACAUUAACAUUUCGAUAUAGAAAGCCUUUCUUGCCUUUCACGCUUCCCCCAACAGUUCACUGCAGCCCCUUUUUUUGCAGAAAAUUUCCGCAUCUACGCAGACAGAAACGGGUGGAAAAAAUGGCAGGUAAUCCUUGAAGCUGAAGUACAGAAAUACCAGAAAUACCAGCAUUUAUAUGAGGCAGCCCCCCGUGAUGCACAGUAGCUUAAGCAUAAAGAAAGACUGAAAGAAGUUGUUUGAAGUCAAGUUGUUUGUUUUUUAUUUUCUUUUGUAAGCACAUUCUCCCGCCAGGAUACAAGAGCCUGUGGUGUUGGAGAGGAAGAAAGAGGAGAUGAAGGAAGAACAAAAGUCAUUUGGCGCUGCGAUUGCAGCACUCCUAUUCAAAGGACGAGUGGACCACCUUCUCUUCCUUCUCUGUCGCAGCGGCAAGAAAUACAACCUGAUUUCUCCUCUUCAAGAAGUAGACACGCAAGGCGUACGCCCAGUGAUUGGUCACACUCCCAAGCGCUCCCAAGGACUUCUGGAUACGUUGUUUUGUGUUUACUAAUUGAUUUCAUUGCAUGAAACAAUUAUUUGUUAUACUUUUGUUUGCAGGGCAUGAAAAAGGAAACAUACAUAGGCUAAAAAGCAUAAAUAAAGAAAACUACUUUAUA